ensembl:lncRNA
UUAUGGACUCCACUACACUGCUGUCUGUGGUGGGCGGGGCUCUCCUCCUGUCAAUCAUCCUUGUAACCAGUCUUUGUACAUACUGCUGGGGACAUAGACAACCAACAUCCAUCCAUCAGAGGUCCAGUGACUCAGAAUACCCCCCAACAUCAGGUUUUGUGGUUCGGCAUCCCGUGUCGACAUGUAAAUAUAUUUUCCUCUGCUAACACACAACAAAACUCACAAAUUGUUGUAUCUGCAUAAUUCAUAUGAAUAUCUUCAUAAAUACCUGUCUCAUCUCUUAUUAUUCAGAUGCGCCCCAUAUGGACCAUACCAGAAUUGUACCUUACCAACAUUCCAAUUCUCUUGGUUCACCAUCUAUCACUGUCACAAAGGUGCACUCCUGUCCUCCCUCAGAAACUGGAAGUCAAGCCAGUUAUGUGAAUCAAAACGGUGAGGAGGGAAUCAACAUUCAUGACAAUCAUCAUGAGAGUGGCGAUGAGCGGAGCAAUCGGCCUCAAAGUGAAUACAUAACUGUUCUUCCCGAUCCCCCGAUCACACAGUCUCAGGGACCCAGCAGAGCUUCCUCCCUGAGCUCAGGAGAAUGUUACAUAAAUGUAGAAAAAGAUGAGAAUGUGUCUGAAGAAGAUCAAUGCGACAACCAGACAUGCGUGGAUGAAUCAGACUCAGACAUGCACGAUUAUGAAAAUUUCUGUAAUUCUUCAGGCCUCAGAAAAAAAACCUAUAGUCUGUCCCGUGGAAGUCAAAGCAGUGAUGAACGGGAGAGCUCUGAUUAUGUCAACACAGGCCCUAGUUUACAAUAAUCCAG